rnacentral:rRNA from 1 species
GAUGAACGCUGGCGGCGUGCCUAAUACAUGCAAGUCGAGCGAACAGACGAGGAGCUUGCUCCUCUGACGUUAGCGGCGGACGGGUGAGUAACACGUGGAUAACCUACCUAUAAGACUGGGAUAACUUCGGGAAACCGGAGCUAAUACCGGAUAAUAUAUUGAACCGCAUGGUUCAAUAGUGAAAGACGGUUUUGCUGUCACUUAUAGAUGGAUCCGCGCCGCAUUAGCUAGUUGGUAAGGUAACGGCUUACCAAGGCGACGAUGCGUAGCCGACCUGAGAGGGGGAUCGGCCACACUGGAACUGAGACACGGUCCAGACGCCUACGGGAGGCAGCAGUAGGGAAUCUUCCGCAAUGGUCGAAAGCCUGACGGAGCAACGCCGCGUGAGUGAUGAAGGUCUUCGGAUCGUAAAACUCUGUUAUUAGGGAAGAACAAAUGUGUAAGUAACUAUGCACGUCUUGACGGUACCUAAUCAGAAAGCCACGGCUAACUACGUG